UACAGAGGUCUCAAGCGUUGUUCGGAUUCAUUGGGCGUAAAGGGUGUGUAGGUGGCGCCGUAAGUCGGGUGUGAAAUUUCGGAGCUUAACUCCGAAACUGCAUUCGAUACUGCGGUGCUUGAGGACUGGAGAGGAGACUGGAAUUCAUGGUGUAGCGGUGAAAUGCGCAGAUAUCAGGAGGAACACCGGUGGCGAAGGCGGGUCUCUGGGCAGUAACUGACGCUGAGGAGCGAAAGCGUGGGGAGCGAACAGG
rnacentral:rRNA from 1 species